GCCAAGUUAGUAUGAUUUAAGUAUGUCGAAUUUAGGUUUCGAAGGAAGGGGUAGCCCUACUUGGCU
rnacentral:tRNA from 1 species